rnacentral:rRNA from 1 species
UUGGAUUCACGCCGGACAUCUCACCAGGGUACGACAGCUGAAUGAUUGUCAAGCUGAUGGUUUUACAUGACUAUCUGAGAGGAGGUGCAUGGCCGUCGUCAGUUCGUACUGUGAAGCAUCCUGUUAAGUCAGGCAACGAGCGAGACCCACGCCAACAAUUGCCAGCAUCAUCUCCGGAUGGAUGGGGACAUUGUUGGGACCGCCUCUGCUAAAGGGAAGGAAGGAAUGGGCAACGGUAGGUCAUCAUGCCCCGAAUUACCCGGGCUACACCCGGGCUACAAUGGAUGGGACAAUGGGUAACACCACCGAAAGGUGUCGUCAAUCUCCUAACCCCACCCUUAGUUAGGAUUGCGGGUUGCAA